rnacentral:lncRNA from 1 species
AUGGUACAAUCAAACUACAAUAACCUCAUUGUUAACAGUCGAAGUACUGCAGGUUAAAGAACUAGUUAUACUACUAUAGUAUCAAGAAAGUCACUGACAAAUAAGUAGACAUCUAAGUAACUUCUUGUAUUAAUCACUCUUAGUAUCUUUGUUCUCUAAUAAAUACCACACUCUCACUCCAAUGUCUCUAUACUGUAGGCAUGAGAUUCGUCUACCCU